CAUGUUUAGUGAUAAGUUUUGUGUAGCAAUCUAACGGUAAAUUCCUUCUCGACAAAUUGAUCUUGUGUUUUGUUUUGCUCCUUAUUUCGUUUCUAUUUUUCUUCUCCUGUGUAGUGUAGUGCGGGUGUGGGUAGUGUAGUGUGGUAAAUGCUGAACUGGAACCGCUUGCUGGAGCUCAAAGAUGUUCUCGCGAUUUGGAGGACCUUGGAGUUGCUGCUGGAUGCUGGUUAGAUGCUGCUACGAUGAUGAUUUGCCAUGCUCAGUUAGCCGCGCGAAGUGGAUCGUGGAAACGGAGUACACCGGGCACUCUUUCGAUGGACCUGCAGUAGAGCCUUGUCCUAUGGUAUUUCUCAACCUGAUGGUUAGCUGAUUCCUUCUUCCAGGGUUGUUGUGUGACGAAGAUGCUAGGAAAUGCUUCUGGCCGGCGAUAUGUAGCUGACGUUAACGAUAUUUGGUGCACCGGUACAACGAUAUAUUAGGUGCACCAAAUUAGCUCUGGAACUAUGCGAGGAUGACAGAGGGUUGGGUGCUCGCAGGAACUCAUGCAAACAGGUUCUGCUGCUGAUUGGACCAAUUCAUGGGAUGUUGUUACUUCUCGAUGAACUGGCUAGCUUGUCGCGGGCCGAUGUGAAUCCGAAUCUGCCCAGUGGAACGUCGUGUGAUGGUGGGUUGAUCGGCGAAUUGACACAGCAAUACUUGGGCCACCAAGGAUGGGUACUUCUGUUGACGGGCGAUGAAUCUGCCAGAUUACUUGUUCUGGCCGGCAGGAGAUUUUUCCAUGUCGUGUGGCUCAGCAUGAAAAUAACUACACGCAGCUGUAGUGGCGCUCUGGCCUGACCUGAUCUUCAGAUGAAAUGUGGACCAUGGAAUAGAUUCGCACAAUUUGGAGCCUCACGAAUGUGCGAUGGUUGUUUUGUCGAUAGAUGGAGGCAUACCUGGGUGCAA